rnacentral:rRNA from 1 species
UGAAUACGAGACGCUAAGGCGUCGAAGUAGUGUAUGUCAUACUUCCAAGAAAAGCUUGCACUGUCAUAGAUAAAAAACGCCUGUACCAUAACCGACACAGGUGGGUAGGUAGAGUAUACUAAGGGGCGCGAGAUAACUCUCUCUAAGGAACUCGGCAAAAUAACUCCGUAACUUCGGGAGAAGGAGUGCCUUAUUAUUAAGGCUGCAAUAACAAGAUCCAAGCAACUGUUUAUCAAAAACACAGGUCUCCGCUAAGUCGUAAGACGAUGUAUGGGGGCUGACGCCUGCCCAGUGCCAGAAGGUUAAAGAAGUUGGUUAGCAUUUGCGAAGCUGAUAACUGAAGCCCUGGUGAACGGCGGCCGUAACUAUAACGGUCCUAAGGUAGCGAAAUUCCUUGUCGGGUAAGUUCCGACCCGCACGAAAGGCGUAAUGAUUUGGAUACUGUCUCGGAGAGGGGCUCGGUGAAAUAGACUUGUCUGUGAAGAUGCGGACUACCUGCACCAGGACAGAAAGACCCUAUGAAGCUUUACUGUAACUUGAAAUUGAAAUUGGACCUUAUUCGCGCAGCAUAGGUGGGAGGCGUUGAUUAUAAUCUUGUGGGAUUAUUGGAGCCAUCAGUGAGAUACCACUCUUGUAAUGUUAGAUUUCUAACUUUGAAUCAUUAUCUGGUCAAAGAACAGUUUCAGGCGGGCAGUUUGACUGGGGCGGUCGCCUCCUAAACGGUAACGGAGGCGUACAAAGGUUUCCUCUGAACGGUUAGAAAUCGUAUCUAGAGUGUAAAGGCAUAAGGAAGCUUGACUGUGAGACCUACAAGUCGAGCAGGGACGAAAGUCGGUCUUAGUGAUCUGACGGUACUGAGUGGAAAGGCCGUCACUCAACGGAUAAAAGUUACUCUAAGGAUAACAGGCUGAUCUCCCCCAAGAGUUCACAUCGACGGGGAGGUUUGGCACCUCGAUGUCGGCUCAUCGCAUCCUGGGGCGGUAGUACGUCCCAAGGGUUGGGCUGUUCGCCCAUGAAAGCGGUACGCGAGCUGGGUUCAGAACGUCGUGAGACAGUUCGGUCCAUAUCCGGUGUAGGCGUUAGAAUAUUGAGAGGAGCCUUCUUUAGUACGAGAGGACCGAGAAGGACAUACCUCUGGUGUACCAGUUAUCGUGCCAACGGUAAACGCUGGGUAGCUAUGUAUGGAGUGGAUAACCGCUGAAAGCAUCUAAGUGGGAAGCCCACCUCAAGAUAAG